UACGGAGGGUGCAAGCGUUAUCCGGAUUCACUGGGUUUAAAGGGUGCGUAGGCGGGCAGGUAAGUCAGUGGUGAAAUCUCCAAGCUUAACUUGGAAACUGCCGUUGAUACUAUCUGUCUUGAAUGUUGUGGAGGUGAGCGGAAUAUGUCAUGUAGCGGUGAAAUGCUUAGAUAUGACAUAGAACACCAAUUGCGAAGGCAGCUCACUACACAAUUAUUGACUCUGAGGCACGAAAGCGUGGGGAUCAAACAGG
rnacentral:rRNA from 1 species